GUCUCCGAAAUUCGCUGAAAAGGUUCAAUUUUUAAAAAUGUAACCUACUUAAAAUGAAUAGAGUUAUUGCUGACUCGCAUACGUACACAGAGCUAGUCAAAAUGAGGCGGUAGGCAAAAAGAAAGUGAAACGAUGACCUGCUAUGAUUGACGUCGUUCUAGACCAAUUGGAUUGUAGAGUAAGUAUGAAAAGACACGUAAGCAGUGCCUCUCGAUUUGGUGCACUGGCAAAUGAUCACGCCCAAAGAUAGCCUAGCCUAGUUUUCGUUCGAGGCAGCCUCCUAGACACUUUCGUUUCUUGUGUUAAGUUUUGCUUUUUGUUUCGGUGGUCUGGACGUUCAUGGACACUAAAUGAAACAAUGUUCCGAGAAUGUCCACUGCUGUAAAGCGGUAAAGUCCCUACAGUCAUCAGCCACACGGUUCCAUCUACUACGGUGAAAGUCUCAAGCCAUCAUGCCGGUGGAUAGAAUGCUAAUGCGCCCUUGGCUUGAAGAACAGAUCAACAGUGCUUCAAUAAAUAACCUAGUGUGGUUAAACAAGCAAAAGAAGAUAUUCCAAAUUCCAUGGAUGCAUGCUGCACGUCACGGAUGGGAACUUGAUAAAGAUGCACCUUUGUUUAUGAACUGGGCAAUCCACACAGGGAAAUACCAUCCAGGGGUUGACCAACCUGAUCCAAAGACAUGGAAGGCAAACUUUCGCUGUGCAAUGAAUUCUCUUCCUGACAUUGAAGAAGUGAAAGACAAGAGUAUUAAAAAAGGCAGCAACGCAUUCAAAGUUUACAGGAUGUUAACGACAUCUGAGCGGUCUAUGAAGAAAGAAAAAAGGAAGUUGGAGAAGGAGCAAAAUAAGGCAAAAAAGCGAAAAUCUGGCGACGACACCAGCUCUAAGGGAUCUGAUGGGCCAACCCCUGAAGAGGAAGAAAAGGUGGAGCAUGAGGCGGAUAGCACAGUGACCAUCGAUCUCCAUCCUACAGUCAGUGACGACUCCACUGACAACCAGCUCGUAAUAAACGAAAUGCCUGAUGUGUGUGCUGUGGUGGAGGUCACCACUGAGCUUGAGGAAGUUUCUGACAGCCAGGUGUCUACUAAGAGAGAGGAGCCACCAAUUACCUCAAGCACUAUUUACCCUCGUUUGCAAGUCUCCCCAAUUUCAUCUUGUGGAGAAAGUGAUGCCGAAAGUGAAUACAGUGAUGAAGACUCCAAGGAGGAAUGGGACAUGCGGUGCCUGUCCGAGCCCCGGGUGACUUGCUCUGUAGUAAGAUUCCCCUCCUGCAAGGCCCCCAGCAACUCCACCUUUUUCAACUCCGAGAAAAUCAACUUUAAGGUGACCAGCUGCCAGGAGGAGUCUCCUAUGAUCGCCUACAACAUUCGUCCCUGGUGGAGACCUCACCUUGCAAUAAGGCCUGUGCCUGGUAGAUUACACUCUGGCCCCCAAGUCCAACCCCGAUAUAGUUCCCAUAAGCGUCCCCAACAUAUUCAACAUGUCGCUUCAGAAAUCUGUCCCCCUGUGCAUCCCCACACAAGUACCCAGGUGCCCACCCAAACCAACAUCAAUGUUCGCGCCCAAACUAUUUCUCACAUGUUUUCCCCGAGAAGUCCACAUAUGCUUGACCUAACCAGUCCACAUCAGCGGCCCCAAACCAGUUCCCCCUUGUGCCCCCAAACUAGUCUUAUUGUGCAUCGUUCUGUCGCACCCCAAAAUAGUUUCCACAUGCCCUCACCAAUCGGACCCCAAACCGGUCUUCACAUGCUUUACCCGGGCAGGCCUCAUAUGCUCCAACAGAGUGGCUCUCAUAGGCACCCCCAAACAAAUCCCCAGCUAUCUCCUCAUACCGGUCCUCAUGUGUCUCCACAAAUCGGUUCCCAUGUCCAUCCCCUAACUAUUUCUCUCACGUCCCUCCAUGGUAAUCCUCAUGUGCCUGCCCAGGCCCGUCCUGAUUCACAUCUCCAGAAAAGUUCUCAAAUGCUUGUCCUAGCCAGACCUGAUGUCAGUCCCCACAGCAAUCCUGAUGUCAUACCCCAUAGCAGCACCCACACUAGUGUCCAAGUCCCCAUUAUUAAAACGCCACACAUCAGUCCCAUCAAUGUUGUGCCUCUGAGACAAUCCUCUCCACCUGAAAGGACCUGCAGCACUGAUGGUCGUGCGAGCGUGAUCGUCAACACUGGCGUGAAAUCGUAACAAUUUUUUACCCCUCAGUAGAGACAAUGUACUGUUAUGAUCCGAGGCAGAUGCUUUGCUGCUACAGAAAAUGAACUUGAGCAUAAAUGCCUUAGAUGUUGCCCUGCCUCAUCAUGAACAGAGAGCACCAAAGGCUUGACAGCAAUAUUGGUCUUACUUUCUGUAAGAUGACAGACAUUCUUGCAAAGUGUUUGAAGUAUGCCUUGAUGACUAUUUUUGAUGACUACUGAUGAAUAUGUUUUCCCAGGACAGAUCUGUAUUUUUGUAUAGAGAAUGUGGUACUAAUGAGUUUCGGAUCAGUUUACAUUUUUUUUAACUAGCACACUAAUUCUGUAACAUGGAUGAUGUCACAUGAGGACACCCCCGGAGAGCUGUGUUUAUUUAUUUGAUUGUCUGUGUGAAUAUUGUCAGCAUGACAUUUAUCAUCUCUGCUGAAAUUUCACCCGACUGUGGUGUAGAGUUGUUUUCAGUAUAUGUCAGAAAGGUUGGAAGGUGAGACAUUGUGCAAACUACUGUGUUUCUUCUCUGUUUCUCAGAUUCUUAUUUUUGAAGUCAGUUGAGAGUUAAUCUCUUAGUUGCAAAAGCUGAUUUUGUGCACUUGUAAUGAAAGGCCAGAAUGAUUAGGAAUGAGAUAAGAGUUGAGUGCAUACUGUGUUGUUUUCCUUAACAUCUGUUGAUUUGACUUUUCUGUUAUCUUCAUGUGGUCAUUGUUAAAUGACAUUCACAAAGAAUAGUUGCUGUAUAAUAUGUCAGCCACUCUAAUUGAAGGAUCUCACUGGGUUAAAAAAAGCCUGAAAAGGAGCAAUUAAGUGCAUUGGAAGAGAAGUAUGUAUGUAUGGGCAUGUGAUUGUGUGAGUUUGCCAUGCACUGCUGUUGCCGGUAAAACAGGGAUGUUCAACAUCAAAUAAAACUGGGUUACUUUUGAAGACAAAUGAAAAAUGUGUGUAAAUGUUCCCUAAUUGCAGUAAACAUUUAAACUCAGGGGUAAAAUACUGUAGUCACCCUCAAUAAUUUAGAAAGACGAAGGAACUUGCAGUUAUUGGUUAAAAUGAUCUCAGAUGCACAGACGUCAUUCCAUUAUUUCAUCCUCAAGGCUGCUCAUGUUUUCAGACCUUUGGCCUGCUGAUGUAGAACAAUAUGACGAUAUCUAAAAUGACUCCUCUUACUAUCCACCGCAGUCUAAUUGAGGGUUUCUUGACCUCUACCUAGGCAGACAAGGGAACAAAAACUAUAGCGUCUGUUCUAGUUUCACAUUACUGCUGGCGUAGCACAAUAUUUAUCUUUUUUUUAGUGUGCCCACUAAAGCUGAAAUAACAGUUACUAGUGUAACACUAGCCCAAAAACUAAAUGAAUAUAGCAAACAUAUCAACACUGGGAAUGGUUGGUGAAUGGAAACAAUGUAACUGUAGACAGAAGGUUUAAGAAAUAACAUCUCAUCACAAAUUCAGUUGAACCAGGGCUUUUGAAAAGCUAGUCACAUGGCAAGUUUGGACACUCCCCUAAGUUAUCUCCUCUAAACAGUUGGAGGAAGGAAGAGGUGAUAUGCACUGAAGACAUGUUAGCAUUUCAGGCUGGUUUCCUUGGAAGAGCGGACAUAGGCUAACAACUCUGUCUUUAAAUGGUCCUUCAGCUCUCUUGGUAAAUUGGUUACAAUGGCAGGUUGGGGAAUGUGGUAUACCUCCCUUAUGUUCUUUGCUGCUGUUACUCAUGAAGUAUCUUGUAUAGAGAUGGGUUUCGCACCAGAGGCAGUAGAUGAUGCAUACACUGCAUGCCGUGAGGAGAUGCUGCAGAACAUUUUGGCAGUGAAAGGAAUUCUUCAGGAGGAGCUCAAGAUCAACACUGUGUUCCAGAAAGAGUGGAACACAUCUAGCCACUGCCAAAAACAGAUCCCUGGAGGUCUACCGCUCCAUACACAGGCUUUGCAAGCUGUUGGUAAUUCUCUUUCUAUGUCCAAAAAAUUCAAUAAAGCUGUUGAGACCAAAGGUGGGACUCCCAGCAUCUACAAAGACCAGUUCCAUUUUAAGUCCCUCCAUUUCCUGCUUAUGGACGCCUUUCGGUUGCUGAAGAACGACUCACAGUGUAGUACCGUGUAUUCCGCCACCUUUGAGGACUUCACUGCCGUGAAAGGAACUGAGGUGCGUUUCGGGGGGUUCAUCCCAGCAAACUAUGAUAAAAUGGAUGAGGAAGAGGGCUGUGCAGAUGGUGGAACCCUGUUUACCAUUAACACCUGUUCUAUCAUCAACUUGGAAGAGCUUGCCUGUUCUCCAGAAUAUACUCUGCGCUUAAUAUCACCAGUGGAGGUGUUUAAAGUGGAGGAUGUGAAGACUGGUGACACAGAAUGCCCAAGAGAGAUUGUGUUGACCUCCUCAAGAUUCCAUAGCAAUCACAAUUGUUAUCUAUUCCCCAGGGAUCCUACCACUCCUGUUCCAACAGCUCAUACUACUUCAGCUACGGCUGAUCCACCUGCUGGGGGAUCCUCCACCCAGUGGGUGAGCUCCGGUGGGGUUGUUCUCCUGACUGCAGUUCUUCACAUCUGCUUGAUUUGUCUUGCACCGUGACUCACAUGCUGAUAAGAUCUGUGAAACUCUCCCUAAAUAAAAUCACACACACACACAAAUAUUUUUCAGACCCUUCCUCAACACACGAUUAGCCAUGUGCUUCAAAAAACACAGAAACGCGCUCAUAUUUGCAUUGAGAGGAUUGGCAUUGGCAUUGGAUUGCAUUGGAAGAAUCCGUGUAUAAAUUCCAUACAAUUUACAUUUCAUUCUGCAUAAAUGAACUUUCCCCUUUACUGUGGAGGGCUAUGUGAUAAGAUAAAAGGGCUAUAAAUGUAAUGAUUUACAACUUCCUUUGUUGGUGAUACCUUUGGUUGAUAUAACUUUGCUGGAUGAAAUGUGUUUUCAAGGGAUUGUGUUUUGGUUAAACUGAAAUAUGUUGAAGCGAUGUAAGAUUUGACACCUUUUUCGAAAAUAGACACUUCACUUCAUAGACAAUCUUCUGGGUUUCUCUACCUCUUCAUGAUGGUUUUACCUGUCCUUGGUUGGUAGGUUCUGUACAUGUAUUUCACUGUUCAGCUUUGAAAAUAAAGCACAUUUUGCUUA